UUUCUUGUGAUGAACUAAAGAACUGUUAACAAGGGUGAGACUGGGAUCAGGUUACAAUCUCUUCCACCAUGCAAAAAACUUGGAUCAGGGUACAAAUACUUAAAAUGUUAUCAAACAGGACGAUAGGAUAAAAAGGUGAACUACUUAGUCAAGGGCUUGUCAAAUAAGAUCUAAAACUUGUACAAUAUUCCAGGAAUGAGAAAAAAAAAAUUCUAUAGUCUAUCGAAGAUUUUCACAAAUCAUUUGCAAUUGAAACUAAACAAAACUUUUUACCUUUUGGUAAGCAAUAGUGCAAGUAUCUUGCAAAGCAAUAAAAACAAGAACAGCAAAAAAGAAAAAAAAAAUCAAUUUACUCCAAAAAAUCCAAAAGAAAAAGGACUACUCAAAUAUUGAUAAAGCAACGCAAAUACCACAAGAUUUCAAGUCAAAUAUUACAAAUCCUUUGUGUAACAUCAUUGUAGCGCAUGUUAAGCUAAUAUUCUAGAAUUUAAAUAUGUUAAACUUACAGGUUAAUUAAUUAGAAGGUAAGGUUUUAGAUUCCCUCCAUCAUCAUGUAUUCAUUUGUGAAUAACUUAAUAAAUGGUAGGCUUUAUAAGAAAAGGUAGUGCUCAUAAAAAAAAAACCUGUGCCACUGCAUUAAUAAGGUGCAUCUCAUCUUCGAGUGGUACAAAGCUGCAGCUUUUGAUGCUUAAACCGAUCUUUUCAAUUAAGGAAAUGAACUCCAACAGUAUCUUUUUGUGAUUCUUGCACUGGACUCUUAUUAGCUCUUCUUCUCCUGUGAUUUUUACUUGAACUUCGGCAGCUGAUCAGAGCUGCCACCAUCAGAGACAUUCUCACAAGGACGAGGUUUCUUUGUUGGAGAAACAACCGAUUCCUCCGUCGGCUUCCUCUUCUUCACUUCUUCUUCAAGUAACUUCUCCCGUUCUACGAGUUGUUUUAUGCACUUUACUGGACUUCCAAUUACAGAUACCUCGUCCAACUGCAUAGGCAACAAAAACAAAUCUCAGUUCACCAACCAAAGUUGUGGGGUGGAGGCUGGAGGGGAGCCAAUCCAUCCAAUAGUCAUCUUAUUCUAGUACUUUAAUUGGUUCUUUAAGCUACAAAUUCUCCCAGGAUUUACAUUUAAAAUUAACAUCUAGUGUACAGCAGUCCGAUAAAAAAAAAAAAAGGGAAUUUUUAUCCUCCCAACCAUCUUAAGAUCAGAAACUACAGCUGAUGAAGCUGUGAACUGCAGGCACAGCUUCUGUCAUCGUUUUCUUGCCAAUUCAGACAAGCAUUUUGCUGUUGAAAAAUCCAUAUGAUGGUGAGAUUUGUUAAGAUCCUGGAGAAAAGGAAAACAACCGAGAAAUAUUCGUCGGUUGAUAAACAAAAUCUAUGCCUUUAGUCCUAGAUCUAUGUUAUGUGCCUCGAAAUUUCAACCCUAAAUAAGUACGUGGGUUUUGGAAUGAAAAAAAAGAAAAAGGAUCUAACGAUGGAUUCACUUGCUAAAAUAAGAGAAAAUUAAGCGAAUAACAAAAUGAGGCUAAAUCUAGUCAAAUGAAUUUCAACCGGCAGAAAUCCCCAUUAUAUUACAAAAGCACGUUGGCAUGAUUAACACAUCAGACAUCUUACCAUGAAAAAACAGGCGCAAAACACAUAUGCUGUCAGAUCACAUGGUACAGGUACUAUCUUAGGACUUGGGAAAAUCAUGAUUCAGAUAUAGUAAUAGAAGUAUGUGAAGCAGAGACCACACAGGACAUCAAGAGUGGGUGGAGAGGGUUACCAUUACCGCGGAGAAAAAUCAACAAAGUGUCCAAUUGCUGUUCCUUGGAGAAGGGUUGUCAAGAAUUGUCUCUGCUUUAAUUGGCUUGCUUUCCACAAUUUUUUUUAUAGUAUUCUGUCGUAGAAAACAGCAGAGCAGACAAGAGAUCGAGAUGGAGAGAGCUUGAAUACUGUGUUAAAAAUUCAAUCAAGAUGCAGUAGCAAGUUUCUUUCGGAUGACUGUACGAAGAAUGAAUAAACUACAAUUCCUGAUACUGGCAUGUGAGCCGUGCGGAAAUCAAUAUAAG
rnacentral:lncRNA from 1 species